rnacentral:misc_RNA from 1 species
GAUGAAGAACGUAGCGAAAUGCGAUAAGUAAUGUGAAUUGCAGAAUUCAGUGAAUCAUCGAAUCUUUGAACGCACAUUGCGCCCCCUGGUAUUCCGGGGGGCAUGCCUGUCCGAGCGUCAUUACAACCCUCAAGCUCAGCUUGGUAUUGGGCCCCGCCGACCCGGCGGGCCCUAAAGUCAGUGGCGGUGCCGUCCGGCUCCGAGCGUAGUAAUUCUUCUCGCUCUGGAGGUCCGGUCGUGUGCUCGCCAGCAACCCCCAAUUUUUUUCAGGUUGACCUCGGAUCAGGUAUGGAUACCCGCUGAACUUAAGCAUAUCAAUAAGCGGAGGA